rnacentral:rRNA from 1 species
CGGGUGAGUAACGCGUGGGUAACCUGCCUCAUACAGGGGGAUAACAGUUGGAAACGACUGCUAAUACCGCAUAAGCCCACGGCUCGGCAUCGAGCAGAGGGAAAAGGAGCAAUCCGCUUUGAGAUGGCCUCGCGUCCGAUUAGCUGGUUGGUGAGGUAAUGGCCCACCAAGGCGACGAUCGGUAGCCGGACUGAGAGGUUGAACGGCCACAUUGGAACUGAGACACGGUCCAA